CUUCAUCAUCACACAAACCAAAAGAACAACAAUGACUUUCAUCAUCAUCUUCAUCUGGACACUCACAGUCUUUACUCAAGUGUGUAGAGGACAGUACACUCUUACUCAGAGUCCAUCAAAAACAGCAGUUCAACCAGGACAACAAGUUAAAAUAAACUGUCAAGUCAGCAGUAAUGUCUACUCAGAUAGCCAUGGGCCUCGACUCAGUUGGUAUUUACAAAAACCCGGAGAAGCUCCCAAACGCCUCAUAUAUCUUGCAAAAACCCUCCAGUCAGGAACUCCAUCAAGAUUCAGUGGCAGCGGAUCAAACACAGAUUUCACUUUGACCAUCAGUGGAGUUCAGACUGAAGAUUCAGGAGAUUAUUACUGUCAGAGUUAUCACUAUAUCAACAGUAAAGAUGUGUUGACACAGUGA